CAGAGGGGUAAGUUAAGGCUAGAAAGGCAGGCUGGGUCAACAGAAUGGCAAGCUAAAACAUGGGAUUUUCUAAAACAGCCUAAGAGGGUGACAGAUAAAAGUGUGCAAGGAGUGGCACAACUCCAGUUUCAUCUUUAGCUAUAGCAAUUAACACCAUAAGGAGUCUGGAUUCAAUUUUGCCAUUUACUAGCUAGCUACCAACUUCUGUGUCGCUUU
rnacentral:lncRNA from 10 species